rnacentral:rRNA from 1 species
UGCCAGACUCCUACGGGAGGCAGCAGUGGGGGAUAUUGCACAAUGGGGGAAACCCUGAUGCAGCGACGCCGCGUGAGUGAAGAAGUAAUUCGUUACGUAAAGCUCUAUCAGCAGGGAAGAAAAUGACGGUACCUGACUAAGAAGCCCCGGCUAACUACGUGCCAGCAGCCGCGGUAAUACGUAGGGGGCAAGCGUUAUCCGGAUUUACUGGGUGUAAAGGGAGCGUAGACGGCAGGGCAAGCCAGAAGUGAAAACGCAGAGCUUAACUUUGCGACUGCUUUUGGAACUGCCCAGCUAGAGUACAGGAGAGGUAAGUGGAAUUCCUAGUGUAGCGGUGAAAUGCGUAGAUAUUAGGAGGAACACCAGUGGCGAAGGCGGCCUGCUGGACGAUGACUGACGUUGAGGCUCGAAAGCGUGGGGAGCAAACAGGAUUAGAUACCCCAGUA